rnacentral:rRNA from 1 species
UUUGCCCUACGGGGGGCAGCAGUGAGGAAUAUUGGUCAAUGGGAGGAAUCCUGAACCAGCCAUGCCGCGUGCAGGACGACGGCUCUACGAGUUGUAAACUGCUUUUGUACCGGGGUAAAAUGCCUUACGAGUAGGGUUUUGAAAGUACGGUACGAAUAAGGAUCGGCUAACUCCGUGCCAGCAGCCGCGGUAAUACGGAGGAUGCGAGCGUUAUCCGGAUUUAUUGGGUUUAAAGGGUGCGUAGGCGGGCUUUUAAGUCAGCGGUAAAAAUUCGGGGCUCAACCCCGUCCGGCCGUUGAAACUGG